ensembl:lncRNA
GGAUCUCUGGUUGGUGAUACUUCCUUUGUAGAAUUUAUUCUGUGAGCCUGGCUUUUUAGAGACAGGAAGUAAAAGAUUUCCUCGUGGCUUUUAGUAACAGCAAAGAGGAAUCCUUUCCACUGCGGCUCAGAACAAGCUGGUCAGACAGCACAAAGUGAUACAAUUCUCAGGAAGGUGCUCACCACACACAGUUGCUAAGUUUCUAGUUUUCCACCUACUGAAGAAGUGCAAGUAACAUCUGAUCAACUGUAGCUUAAGAUCCAGGGACUCUGCUCACAAGGAGAUUCUUGAGGAUGAUAACAGAUGGGGGCUUCCAUCUGGACCAGAAUAGCACUGAAGGUUGGAAGACUUGUUGGUCUCAGCGUGGUACAUCCCACACUGCAAAGCAUUCACCAAGAUGCUCAGCAGACUGAACUUUAUGUGCAAGGGGCCCCAUCCACUGAAAUAGCUUCUUGAUUAGUGCUUUUGACUCAGCUUAUCUGCCAGGAAUCCCCAGGAAGGAAGGAAGGAAGGAAGGAAAGAAGAAUAUCCUCUUGCUCCUCUGUACCUCCUCAUAUUACAACUCAACACUCUGCUUUGAUGCUUUGCUCUAAGAAAUCCUUGGUCCACAGCUAGAAGAUAUCAGAUGCUCUGAAAAAAAAGUACAGAAAUUAUUACUUCUUUGUACCCUCCAACUGUUAAUGGUGCUGCUGACCCACCAAAAUAGGAAAUUAAGGGUGAUCCUUUUGCAGAAGAAGAAUGCAUCUGAGCUUAUGUCUGAGCAAAGAAGAGCAAAAGUGAGGACAUAUUUCCAAGAAAAC